GGACUGCAUAAGGCACAGAUUAAAUAGAUAUAAUAAUUAAUUUAUUGACAAAAUGAGUGAACGGAGCUAACUUAUGGAUCCAAAUUUAUAAAAGAAAAAUAUGGAUCCAAUUACAUCUUAACUAAAAACUAGUAAAAAUAGCCAACAUAAAAUAUGCUCUAAUGAAAGCCAAAACUAACAAGGUUUUAUACGCUACAAUAAGCCCAACUCGGCUUCAUCAAAACCGCUCUUUUUCCAAACAUACCCAAAGCCCCGCCAUUUUUCUUUGUUUUAAGAGCACAGUGGAGAGACUAUUUGCUCCCUUUCUCUUUGAGUAGGAGAACAAAAAGAGUUAGGACUUUCAUCUGCUUAGAAACGAGACUCUUUGUUACUAUUCAAAACUUUAAGGGGAUGAUAUAUAUAUAUAUGUAGAUCAUGUUGUCAUUAAUGAUGAUGGGGUUUGUUCGGUCGUGAUUAUGUCAUUAGAUGGCCAUGCAGAUGUGAAUUGUUGCAGUUGCCUGAACAUCAAAAUUUGGCGUAUGUUUAAGAGCUUUUGUCGCAGCAUACGAUGCUCAGACCGAAGCCGGUCGUUCUCCCUCUGUUCGCCCUGGCAAUUGUACAGGACUAAGCGCAAACGGUUCGUUAGUUCCCGAUUCUCAAUCCUCAGCCGGUUCACCUGGUUUCUUAGGUUUUCUAAGUGCCUCUGUUUUCGCAUGCGUGACCGCCUCGCUGACUCCCGGUUCGAUAUCAUCCGCCUCAGUUUUCGCUCAUCGACAACCGAAACGGUGCUCUGGUUCGGGUCAUCAGAAUUGGAGUUAGAGUUGGUAGGGUUUGAGUCAGAACGGUUCGGUUCGUUUGGUUUAUCAGAAACAGAACUCAAAACAACAGGUUUUGGUGAUGGAGGGUCAUCGGUGGCGGCAAAAAGGUCGGAAUAGUCCCAUAGCUUGAAGCCGUUUGACAAGGACGGAAAUGGGUUUCCAAGCAUGGAAUCGGGGGAGGAGAAGAAGGCUGCAGGAACAGCAGACAACAUGGCCGACGAAAUUGCUCAAUAGAUAGGAGAGAAAAGGAGGAGGAGGAAAGGGAAUAAAUGCGGCCUAGGGGCCUCAUAUUUAUGGGCAAAACUGGACUGCAUUCCUGGGAGGUGGGACCCACUUUUUUUUGGGGCGUGAAAAAUGCACUCCAGGGGUAUUUUGGUCUAUUUGCUCUUAUGGUGAUUACUGGGAUUGGCUUUCGAGUCAGUGGGCACUAAUGCGGUGGGGUGGGUUAGUUCAAUUCAAGCCUUAGCUAUGCCUUUUUGCAAGCCCGCAUAUACAUAUAUGGCCAUUUGGAGCUGACAUAAGCUGGUGGGUCCACUGUAGAAACAAAGAUUUGGGUCCCACUUUUAUGAAAGGAAAUAGUGCUAAUAGCCAAUAGUUUAGAAAGUAGCUGACGUGGAGCCACGUAUGCAGGUACCUGAGCUUGAGCCUAGUGGUUAACGGUGAUCAGGUCGCUUGGCUGGUCUGAUCGAUGGGCACAAAUAUGGCCUUUGAUUUGUUUAGUUGGCAGAGAGAGUGUAAAUAAAGAUGGCCACCACCCAUUACCUUAAGUGACGUCGCAUUUACC
rnacentral:misc_RNA from 1 species